CAGUAGCCACGGUAAUACAGAGGGUGCGAGCGUUAAUCGGAUUUACUGGGCGUAAAGCGUGCGUAGGCGGCUUCUUAAGUCGGAUGUGAAAUCCCUGAGCUUAACUUAGGAAUUGCAUUCGAUACUGGGAAGCUAGAGUAUGGGAGAGGAUGGUAGAAUUCCAGGUGUAGCGGUGAAAUGCGUAGAGAUCUGGAGGAAUACCGAUGGCGAAGGCAGCCAUCUGGCCUAAUACUGACGCUGAGGUACGAAAGCAUGGGGAGCAAACAGGAUUAGAUACCCGAGUAGGUCCCUGUCUCUUAUA
rnacentral:rRNA from 1 species